rnacentral:rRNA from 1 species
UACGUAGGUGGCGAGCGUUGUCCGGAUUUACUGGGCGUAAAGAGCGCGCAGGCGGUCGUUCAAGUCGCGUGUGAAAGCCCCCGGCUCAACUGGGGAGGGUCACGCGAUACUGAUCGACUCGAAGGCAGGAGAGGGUAGUGGAAUUCCCGGUGUAGUGGUGAAAUGCGUAGAUAUCGGGAGGAACACCAGUGGCGAAGGCGACUACCCGGCCUGUUCUUGACGCUGAGGCGCGAAAGCUAGGGGAGCAAACGGG